rnacentral:lncRNA from 1 species
AAGCCAUGCAGAGCUGGACCUCGCUCCGAAGCUCGAGGAGGAGGUCUAGAUCGGCCCUCCGACACUCAGAGUUGUCCGACUCUCGAUACUGCUCGACUCUAGUCGACGGUAGCCCAAUCUCGAGCGGUAUCAUCAUUUUCGUCCCAUAGACCAAACUGAAAGGUGACUCCCCGGUCGGGACACGGGGUGUCGUCCGGUAUGCCCACAGGACGGGGUUCAACUCCUCAUCCC